UGAGACUUUCUCCAAGUGGUGUCUGGAGCCACGUCAUUUUUACAUGCAUGAAAAGUUAAUUUUCUAUUUUUGAUCUAAAAAAUUAGAUUACAAAAUUAUAUUAGAUCUAAUUAAUAGUGCAUGAGAUGUAUUGGAUCCUAGUUUUGCAUGUGAUGCAUAGAUCUGAAAAUCAUCAUUGCAAUCUAUUUUAUAUGAAAUAUAAGAUUUUUAGAUCUGAUC
rnacentral:lncRNA from 1 species